AUACAAAUGUUUCCAGGAUGAUAGAAUACAAAAUAUACUCAGGGCCACAGUUCUAUGUUACCUGACUGUUCAAGAGCGUCAAUGAAUUGUUCUGAUGGAGCAGAAAUUGAAAAGCAAAGCUGAGCUGUUCUGUCAGCCAGAGAUUAAUUCUCAAGAAAAGAAGAAAUAUUUGUGACAGGGUUGGCCAGCUACAAAAGGACACAGGCAAGUGUUUAAAGGGAUCUGUCAUUCAGGAUGGCUGUAAGGAAGAGCAGCCUGAAGCAUGUGAAAAGGAACUCCCAUCUUCUCUCUUUUCUUCCUGAUUGAAGACAGCUUCAUCACUUUUAGUACAUUACACCGUUUGGAACAGGAGACAGAAGGAACCACAUCAAAUAAAAGAAUGUGACCACAAAAGCUGCCUUGAGAACCAUGAUCCCAGAUUUGUUAUGUCAAGAAACUUUAAGCAUAUAUAAAGGAGUUAAAGAUCAUGAAAUGAAGCAAUCCAGAAAGAAACAGGACUAGAAAAUAUGCACAUUGUGAGCACUCUUCUGGAAGAGGUGUGUUGAAUAAUUCUUGAUAAACAUCUGAGAUUUAUGUAUGGUGAAGAUCACUGGGAAUUCUUCUGCAUUGCGUCCAUGUGUGGUAUAUGACAUCACUUGCCUUUUCAUUUGUGAUGCUGAUUUCUGUAUUGCAGCCCACCCCUGUUGCAGCAAUGGGAAUUUCUCCUGGAACUUCACUGUAUAGAAGAUUUAUCUCAAUGUACAUGUGUAUCUUGUACCUCUCUCUACAGAGAAUGUUCAAUGUAAAUGAAUGUCUGCCUAAGACUGACACCAUCUACUUGAGAUAAUAAGUUCCUCUGCAAAAAAUAUUAAUGAACAUUCAUUGGAAUAAAAACUGAAUUUGCAGGGAUGGUUUUCACAACCCUUUUCAUUGUUUUUUCCAUGACAUGAGUUUUAUAUGAGCACAUUUUGUUCUUAAGAAUGUUUGCAAAAAGCAAGCAGCACAAAUACCCAUGUGAAUAUGUGACCCCCUGAAAACAGAGGGAACCAUGGCUGUGUUACAAACCACAAAGGUCAACUUUUGGCAACAGUAAGGAAGAUUGUGAAUAACAAUCACAGUAACAAACUUUCAAUCAUAGCGAUUGAUUUACACUGGCUAUACUUUCAAGGCUAUUUCUGCGAUGAAAAGGAUAGAGACCGAGUUUUAAAAGAAAAGAAAGCAGAGAUUGGUGUUAUUAUUUGUCAUGUAUAAAUCACAUAUAAAAUCAGAGCAGGGUUUUUGUGCACGCACAAGUACAACUGAGCGCUAGCCCUUGUAGAUGAAGCAUAAAAUUACCAAAAGCAGAUAAGUGACUUAAGAGCCUAAAUCCCACUUUCAAAAGAGACUUAGGUAGUCAGGAACCUAAGCUUCAUUCAAAAAUCAAUGGGACUUUUGUUCCUAAGUACCUGAGUCAUUCUUGAAAUUGAGAUUUAGGACCCUAAAUCACACAGGCACUUUUGAGAUUUUUACCCCCACUCGAAUAUACUGUUAUAUUGCUGUUGCUGUCAUGGGGAAAGCAUUCAUUAAACAUAAUGAGUAACUGGGGUAAAAUAAGUCAUGUCACCAAUAAACACAAUUUGGAUGUAAUUUAUUUCUUUAGUUGCUUUUGACGUUUCUAUUUUGCUUGCCAUAUACUGUUAUCAUACCUGUACAGUGCACAAAACAGGAUGUGCCCUCAGCAAUGACUCAUUAGCAAAUAUGUGCUUUGCAUAGGUGUAUAUAGGCAACGGGUGGGAUUAAGACACGUGCAUCCGACAUAAUGAAUUCAAAUAUAAGGAAGGGAAUUUUUUU